AAUUCUUUUUCUUCUUAAUGCCUACAUUGUCGUAUUGCUCCGUGCUGAAUUUUACGAGUUAGUUUUUGUGUGUUGUCUUGCAAAGCAGUCCACUUUGUCAGCAGCCUAGCUAGCUUUGAAUUCCUAACAAAUCAUAAGCUUCAAAUUGCCAGGGCAUGUCUUUUCAGGUAGCUACAGAAAAAAAUAUAUAUAAAGAUGUUGACUGCAUGUUAGUAUAAAUGUCUGUAGAUGCGAUUAUCUAAAUGUUUACCCUUCUCAGACGUGCGCAACUCCAGUGUUGAUUUUUAUAGUUGAUAGCUCGUGCUUUCCUGUGUCAGGUUAAUUGCAAAUAGGAUUUGGUUGACCAAGAACCCAUGCCACCAUAUUGCAUGCCUUUUUUCUGCGUUAUUUCUCAGUCAUAGUGUUAGCUGAUUUUCUUCCUUAGAGUCGGCAGGAACAUGGCGCGAGCAAAAGAGGGGCUUAAGUAUAUUUUGUUAACGUAAUUUGUGCAGUCAUUUUAAAUACAGUGAAAUCUUCCUGUCCACUUUUCUAGCAAAUCAUAAUAGCCGUGAUCUCGGGUACAUUCUGACAGCAAGCUUGAUGUACUAAAUCUCGUUUAGAUAAUUCAUUGCCACACCAAGAGCAGCAUUAACCCUUUGAGGGUCAAAUUUUUUUUGCCAAAUGCGACCUCCCAGGGUCGAAUUUUUUUAUUGAUGAUUUAAAUUCUUCGAAAAAACCUAUUUCGAAGAAAUAUGGUCGUAACUUUUUUUUUUUUUUUUGAGUGACAGUAAAAAGAAAAAAAUCGUGUGUGUUGUAAAACGCACAAUAUUUUUUCAUGAAUAAGAAGAUAAGCACACUGAAAAAUGGUUGUGUGCACGUCUGGAAACCGAAACAAGUGAGAAAGAAGCCUUCGUCUUAUUGCCAACAAGGUGCCAUAGAGCUUUUGUGGUCUCCAAAAAAGGAAACGCAAAAGCGGCAGCAUCAUUUGUGUAUAUACGCGCCUGCCUGGGAACAGGUGUAAUCGUGCCGCGGUGGGUGAUAAACGAUCAAGUAACAAGUGGUCACCCUUUGAGAGAUUUGAAACCAGAUAGCCAUCAGUUUAGCGCGUGCAACAAGAGGGAUCCGCCACAGGAGAAAACCGUAACCUGCUGCGCGCGCGCGCCCGGAUGCGCAAGCGAUAGCUGACAUGCCGUUGCCAUUAAAGAAAAAAAAAAUGAGAGGCUCUGGUGCAAGUAAAAAAUUACACGUGUUCCCGUCGAGUGGCAGCACAUACCAAGCGAAUGAAUUAAUCAAACGAAUCUCGCACUUGUCACCGCUCCGCGUGCGCACAGCCCGGUUGCCCGAGCAAUAGUCCACGCGCCGUUGCCAUAAACAAACAAAAACAAAAACCGGAAAGGCAUUGGCACAAGUAAAAAAUUCCAUGUGUUUUUGUCGAGUGACAGCACAUGCCAAGUGAAAGAAAUGAUCGAAAGAGGCGCGCUUUUUUAAUGUGCUAGUGAUAACGUACAUGUACGUCAUUGACCAUUUUGAAGGUGUUCGCGGAGGACGUACAUGUACGCCAUCGACCCUGAAAGGGUUAAUGGAUUAAAAGGGCCGUACCGCAGUGGGACCAAAAGCCAGCAUUAUCCACAUGUGAGAAUCGCAUACCAGUGCUGUUUGAUGCCACCUUGUGUAGCCAGGUGUGUUGCCGGAGAAAAGAAAACCAAGUUACAAAAUUUGAAAAGCCCGAAACAAAACACUAACGGAGGUACAGAUUUGGGGAGUCAAUAAAAUUCAAUGAAAAAUUUCAAGACGUGUAACUCUGUUGUGCUUGUAUCUUGGGUUAUUGAUGCUGAAUAUGCAAGCAGUGAUUUGAAACUAUCCAUUAUUUGAUGACUGAAGGGGUGCUUGGGUGAACAAGUAAGCCAAGCUGAUGCACAGUGGAGCACAGGCCCUGGCUAUGUGACUAGGCAAAUUUAACAUUUUCGUGGUCUGUUAUGUGAAGCAACCACACCUUACAAACUUUGUGGUUUUCCUCGCUCAUUGGUUUUCCAGUGGAUCAUAUUUAUCUGUAGCGUGAAAGGACAGAGCACUUCGAGAAGGUGACACACACAGAAUUGCUACAAUCAGUUUACAGCUAAAAAUCAGUUGUUCCCCUCUUCUCCUAUUUCACCAAAGUUGACCGUUGGGUUAAUUGGUGUUGCAUAAGCAAUGUUUUCCCAGCACAUUAGACACGGACAACAGAAUAGACUCACACAGUGGUGUGUGUCUGUUCGUUGUCCGUGUGUAAUGUGCCGUGAAAACACAGUCCUCUUUCCUCGGAACUACUGCUAGACUUGUUCAAAGCUAGUUAGGGACUAUAUCUGGAGGGCUGCUGCUAUUUGUUUCACUUUAUGUGGAACAAAUUUCUCUUUGAGAAUACUUGUGCAAGCAAAGGUUUUUAAAGCAUUACAAAUUGCUGAAUACAAAAUAAAUGGUCUUGUGAGCACGGGGUGGCCUCUAGUAAUGCCGGUGAAAGUCUCACAUAUGUUUCUACAGUUUGGUCCCACUGAAGUGUGGCACCAAGUAUUGAACAAAUGCGGCUUAGCAAUUCAGAAGACUCUUACAGUUCGCAGUUCUAUCAUCAUAUGAUGGCAGUUUACAAGCCAGAAUGCAGAUUAGGCAGCUGAAAUGUUAUUUGCACUUGUUCCCAAGUUUUUUGUGACAGCAUUUCAUUUGUGCCUGGGACAAGCUGAGGCACCAGUUGCACAGUUUUUGCUCGACUGUUCGAAGGUUAAAAGCACAUGUAUUUUGGCAAGUGCCAGUUUAGAGCAGAACAAAUACAACAUAUAAAAUGGAGAAAGAUUUUUUUUUCUUACUUCAGAAGACAUAGUCUAUCUUGAUGCCCGAUCUUUCCCUAGCCACAGUUCUUUCUUUUUUUUUUUUUUUCAUGAUGUAUCCCGUUAUGGAAGAUCCAUGCAUGAACCCACUUUUUUU